GCCGGGAUGGCGGAACUGGUAGACGCGCCAGACUCAAAAUCUGGUUCCCGCAAGGGAGUGCGAGUUCGAUUCUCGCUCCCGGCA
rnacentral:tRNA from 2 species